CCGGUAACCUGGGGAGAUACCUUGAUCACAAAGGUGCUUUUCCCAGGGCUAGACUUAUCCAUUGCUCUCCAGAUGUGCUGACCCCUUCAGUUUCCCCAAAUGUGGGAAACUCAACUGCAUAAUUUGUGGUAGUGGGGAACUGCAUGUUCGUGCUGUCUCCUA
ensembl:snRNA U1 U1 spliceosomal RNA